CAAUGCUUUGAGUUCAGUUCAGGGCAGCUUUCCUGUUCUGUUAAUGAAACUCUGGGACAUUGAACCUGCUACGGUAGAUGAGCGCAUAGAAGUAUUACUCUAUUCAUUUACCUCCCAGCCUACAAAA